GUUUGUGAAGGGGAUCUUAUGAAAAGUGUUGGAUGGGAAAAACAAGAGCACAAGGAAAUAAAGGAAAAAGAGAGGCACCACAUAAUUGACACAAAUGCAGAAAAGAAGUUUAUGGGGAAAGAAAACCUUCCCAUAAAAGGGAGCAUUGAGUUGGUAAAAAGGUUCAAUAAAAGCAAAGUAUUACGAAAAUCUCAUAGAAAAAUUCAUUUUACCUUGUAUGAUAAUUUUUACAUAAUUAAUAAAAGAGAAAAUGGAGCUGGGGAAACCAAUGUAUGGCAAACAGCUUGUACCAGGUAAUCAUGAUGACAGUUGUUCAAAUACCAGCACCCACCUAAGAAGCCAGCCAUUCUGUGAUGUGCGGCAGGACCUCAAACAAGCCAUCAUGUCAUCAAGAAGCAUUGGUUCCUUUAACACAGAAGGAAAGUUUUGGAUUAGCUGCUAUUCAUAACUAGACUAUCACGAAGAAAAGCUGGACUAUCUGCCUGCUGCUCACUGUUUCCAUCAAGAGUGGGACAGACAGAAAAGCCCUGCUGCUAGUGUACCAAACUAUGAAUGCAAAAUAAACAAGGACCUUUUUUCUAAAACUACCUCACCUCAGGAAUUUGUCACCACAACUGAAUAUGAAUUAAGAUGUAGUUAUGUUUAAGUAAGGCAAUGAGUACUAUGCUUAUUUGACCUUGAAGAAGAGAAAAAUUGAUCUUCUGUGGAAUUUAUCUAGAAGAUGUGUCUAUAAACAGCCCUAUGAUAUUCUUAUUUUAACCUUGGAAUAUAAUUAUUCCUUUGAUAUCAGAUGGAAUAGAGAACUGAAGAAUAGAUUCCAGCCACUGGAAACAUAUAACAAAUAAGAGUGGCAAUUGUUAUAUUGUGAAGUGAAGAAAAGUUCUUGUAAGGAUUAUAUUUGUGGUAGUGGGAGAUAAACCUAGGACUGCUUAUAUACUGAUCAUGAACUCUACCAGUUAAAUAGAGGUCUACAUAUUUGACAGCUACUCUCUGAUUGUUGUGAUUACUGUGAUGAGAAUUAUUUAUUUGCUUCCUUAUUAGCUGAUAUGACAGACUCAAGAUAUGGCCCUGAAAUUGAAGAACAUAAUCUGAUCCACAUAAUUCUCUGGCUCUCCAUAGAAUCUAGAGUGAAAAACUACCUACACCUGAGAUUUUUACUAGAACUUUAACCAGUAUAUCCUAUGUGUCAACGGAUACUACUUUCAAAAAGCUGAAGAAAAGUCCUCAUCUCAUUAGAUACUUCAAGUGCUUGAUAUUUUCAGGAGGAGUUUCUGUUACUUUAUAUAAGUCAUAUAAAAAUUACUUGGUGCAUAUUUGGGAACUAUACUGAGAGGAAAUCUGUGGAAGAAUAGGAUGUGCUGUUGAGCAAGGACAUUGAUCACUCAUACAGAGAUUUCUUGCUAUUUUUACUGGGGAAGAAGUUUGGUAGUGAAUUCUACUGAGGAAGCAAAUGCUGACCUCUGUAUGAACCUUAUAAGCAACUUGACAAACACAGUCUCAAUAAAUAAACUAAUGGUA